rnacentral:lncRNA from 13 species
GAGGAGCUCAGGAUUAAAGCCUGUACUGAGAUCAGGCUGAGAGGAGGAGAACAGCUCAGGAUUAAAGCCUGUACUGAGAUCAGGCUGAGAGGAGGAGAACAGCUCAGGAUUAAAGCCUGUACUGAGAUCAGGCUGAGAGGAGGAGAACAGCUCAGGAUUAAAGCCUGUACUGAGAUCAGGCUGAGAGGAGGAGAACAGCUCAGGAUUAAAGCCUGUACUGAGAUCAGGCUGAGAGGAGGAGAACAGCUCAGGAUUAAAGCCUGUACUGAGAUCAGGCUGAGAGGAGGAGAACAGCUCAGGAUUAAAGCCUGUACUGAGAUCAGGCUGAGAGGAGGAGAACAGCUCAGGAUUAAAGCCUGUACUGAGAUCAGGCUGAGAGGAGGAGAACAGCUCAGGAUUAAAGCCUGUACUGAGAUCAGGCUGAGAGGAGGAGAACAGCUCAGGAUUAAAGCCUGUACUGAGAUCAGGCUGGGAGGAGGAGUCCCAAAAGUUGAAUUUAGGGCUCUGAUAAACAAUGUGGCCGAUGAAAAGGGCACUUUUUUUGAUGGUAGAUUUGUUUCUAAAUGCAAAGUCAUUUAUUUAAAGUGUUGUAACUGAAAUUAUUGCUCACAUGGCUUGAACUGUUCUCAGGACACCAUUUGGAAAUGUCAUCAAUGGUUUUCCCUUAUUAAAGAGAAGAUAAUAACAAAAAUAAUGAACAGAAGCUUAAUGUGUUUCUUUAUAGGAAGUUAAGAUUUUAAUUAUCACGCGUUAAAGAAUGGGGGGUUUAUUGUAAAGCUUUUGCUGCUUGGUACAAUUGUCACAAUGGAUCUAAUAUGGAGUUGAUUAAUGAGAGGUUUGUACUGAUAAGAUCACAGCUGUGGAGUGUUAGAGACGGAGAGGAGAACCAGGAAACUGUCUCUAUUUACCUCUUUUCACUGACUGACACUGUUCUCUCUCUCUCUCAAUUCAAUGGGUUUUAUUGGCAUGCCAAACAUACAUGUUUAUCCAAAACAAGUUAAAUAGAUCAUUUGUUGUUUGUUUACACUCACGAGUUCCAAAGGAAUAGAGACAUUUUAAAUGGUGUGUGUGUGUAAUAAUACAGUGUUGAAAUGCUGUGCAAUGAUGGGCCGACUCUCUUCUCUGUAUACAUCAAUGAUGUCGCUCUUGCUGCUGGUGAUUCUCUGAUCCACCUCUACGCAGACGACACCAUUCUGUAUACUUCUGGCUCCUCCUUGGACACUGUGUUAACUAACCUCCAAACGAGCUUCAAUGCCAUAUAACUCUCCUUCCGUGGCCUCCAACUGCUCUUAA